ACUAAUACACACAAGAAUAAUGCAAAAAUAAAAAUAUGGAGGGCAAAUAUGCGUUUUGCCAAAACAUAACGUGGCAUUCCAUACUAAAAACUAGCGGCUUCGUCUCGCCGCGCAGACAGACAAUCAAUUUACACGUAGCUUUUCAAACCACUAAUAGUCCAACACGUGUCUUUCUACUCUUUGCAUCCCGAGAAAGACAACAAAUGGCCUACCUCAUCUUUCCUUCUUCUCUCUACUUUAAUCUCCAGGUGCCUUCCUACUCCUCCGACUAUCCUCACCGAUCACCACAAGAAUUUUCCGGCGACCCAGAAUGAGGGAAACAAUACUUAGUAGAGAAUAUGUUCAGAUUUAUAAAUCGUAGGAAGCUGAUGCUAAUGUAAAGAGAGAGGGAAGUGUAGAGUUGGAAGCUGAGAAACAGAGGAGCAAGAGCCAGUAUUUAUAAGCGGGUAGUUUUGCUUUUUAAUUGAGUUCACGGAUUUGGCCCUGCUGUAUACUCCUUUUUUCAUGUGUAUGUGUAUGUUCUUUCUCAUGUAUGUAACCGUAUUCAAAUGGGUGCUUUUGGUGUGAUAAAGCCCAUUUUUAGUCCUUAAGCUUUUGUGUUUUGUUCUA